AUUACCGAGUUUACAACUCCCAAACCCAAUGUGAACGUUACCAAACUGUUGCCUCGGCGGGAUCUCUGCCCCGGGUGCGUCGCAGCCCCGGACCAAGGCGCCCGCCGGAGGACCAACCAAAACUCUUAUUGUAUACCCCCUCGCGGGUUUUUUACUAUCUGAGCCAUCUCGGCGCCCCUCGUGGGCGUUUCGAAAAUGAAUCAAAACUUUCAACAACGGAUCUCUUGGUUCUGGCAUCGAUGAAGAACGCAGCGAAAUGCGAUAAGUAAUGUGAAUUGCAGAAUUCAGUGAAUCAUCGAAUCUUUGAACGCACAUUGCGCCCGCCAGUAUUCUGGCGGGCAUGCCUGUCCGAGCGUCAUUUCAACCCUCGAACCCCUCCGGGGGGUCGGCGUUGGGGAUCGGCCCUUUACGGGGCCGGCCCCGAAAUACAGUGGCGGUCUCGCCGCAGCCUCUCCUGCGCAGUAGUUUGCACACUCGCAUCGGGAGCGCGGCGCGUCCACAGCCGUUAAACACCCCAAACUUCUGAAAUGUUGACCUCGGAUCAGGUAGGAAUACCCGCUGAACUUAAGCAU
rnacentral:rRNA from 1 species